UGAAGGAAGAACAUCCGGUAAUUAGAAGAGUGAAACAAACUUCGAGUCAGAAAGUCAGAAAGGCGUCUUUGGAGUGCGGCAGCAUAUCAAGGAGUUCAGUCUACUUGUGCCAAGAAAUAACUCAGCCAGGAUGGCUCACUCUGAGAAGGAGAAGACAGUUACAUUUGGAGCUCUGGUCAUUUCCUUGUCUGCUGCAGGUCUCACCGUUGGAAUGGACACCGCGGCUGUAACAGUACUAGGCGUGAUGGCACUCGUGGCAAUGAUCAUCUCCAAGAUUUUCUGAAGAAGAGGAAUGAUCACCAAAGAACAUCAGGAGAGAACAUUCAAGAUGCACGAGACAACUCUUCAACAGACCUACAAGCAAAUGUUCCAUGAAAUCUCUGCUUUCAAAGAAAAAUUUCUUCUGGAUCAUCUGGGUUUACUAGAUUUACUCUGAAUCUCCUUGCUACUGAGUACUUGUAAUUUUGCUCUGUGAAUCAAUGCGCUGACUUAAGGAUAAGAACAUCUGCUAAAUGCCUAAAUUGGUGGUCCCUUAGGAUAUCUUCUAUAAAACAUUUUUUCAACUACGUGCCCUCAAACUGUUAUUUUAAUCCCCACCUUCAACGACUGGCUUUAAUGGCUGCUUCAUGAUCACGAGACAUUAACACACUCCUGUAACUGUAAGCACAAAUGCUAUUUCAUGUUUUAUGAGGUGGGAAACAUAUAAAUUCUCAUAUAUAAACACCUGUUUAUAUAUGAGAAUAACUGUGUUUUUACCUACAACCUGCACUUCCCCAGUGGAACACAGACUGCUCUCUCUACGGUCCAUUUGAGAACCAGUUCUUUAAAAUGUCAAAUGCAUGUAAAUAUAGGCUAAAAGCAAAUGCUCACAGAGGCAAUUGUUCACUUAUACCUCCCUCCAAAAAAAAUUGUCUUAAGAAAAGUCAGUCUGAUUAAUGGUGACUAAUAAAUGAUUGAUGAUGAAUUAAAAUUGAACAUUCAAAUUAUUUUAUGAUUUCUGUGAUGUCCUCCACUCUUUACCUCUAUCUCUUCUCUUCCUGGUGGCCAUGCUGUUCUGUGCAAUAAAGGUGAAGAAAAAGGUUGUGGGCGCU